CACACAUGCUGCACACAGCACACCCAACACGCUGUACCCCUCACACACAUGCUGUGUGCAGCAUGUGUGUGUGAGGGUCACAGUGUGUUGGGUGUGUUGUAUGCAGCAUGUGUGUGUGAGGGGUGCAGCGUGUUGGGUGUGCUGUGUGCAGCAUGUAU